CUGGGAUGUAGCUCAGGGGUAGAGCUCUUGCCUACCAUGAGUGAGGCCCUGGGUUCAAAAUCUAGCACUAGA
rnacentral:tRNA from 1 species